GACGAACGCUGGCGGCGUGCUUAACACAUGCAAGUCGAACGGAAAGGCCCUGCUUUUGUGGGGUGCUCGAGUGGCGAACGGGUGAGUAACACGUGAGUAACCUGCCCUUGACUUUGGGAUAACUUCAGGAAACUGGGGCUAAUACCGGAUAGGAGCUCCUGCUGCAUGGUGGGGGUUGGAAAGUUUCGGCGGUUGGGGAUGGACUCGCGGCUUAUCAGCUUGUUGGUGGGGUAGUGGCUUACCAAGGCUUUGACGGGUAGCCGGCCUGAGGGGGUGACCGGCCACAUUGGGACUGAGAUACGGCCCAGACUCCUACGGGUGGCAGCAGUGGGGAAUAUUGCACAAUGGGCGGAAGCCUGAUGCAGCAACGCUGCGUGCGGGAUGACGGCCUUCGGGUUGUAAACCGCUUUCGCCUGUGACGAAGCGUGAGUGACGGUAAUGGGUAAAGAAGCACCGGCUAACUACGUG
rnacentral:rRNA from 1 species